CUUAUGCGUUGUUGGGUAGGGGAGCGUUCUGUAAGCCGUUGAAGGUGGCCUGUGAGGGUUGCUGGAGGUAUCAGAAGUGCGAAUGCUGACAUAAGUAACGAUAAAGCGGGUGAAAAGCCCGCUCGCCGGAAGACCAAGGGUUCCUGUCCAACGUUAAUCGGGGCAGGGUGAGUCGACCCCUAAGGCGAGGCCGAAAGGCGUAGUCGAUGGGAAACAGGUUAAUAUUCCUGUACUUGGUGUUACUGCGAAGGGGGGACGGAGAAGGCUAUGUUGGCCGGGCGACGGUUGUCCCGGUUUAAGCGUGUAGGCUGAUUUUCCAGGCAAAUCCGGAGAAUCAAGGCUGAGGCGUGAUGACGAGGCACUACGGUGCUGAAGCAACAAAUGCCCUGCUUCCAGGAAAAGCCUCUAAGCAUCAGGUAACAUCAAAUCGUACCCCAAACCGACACAGGUGGUCAGGUAGAGAAUACCAAGGCGCUUGAGAGAACUCGGGUGAAGGAACUAGGCAAAAUGGUGCCGUAAC
rnacentral:rRNA from 1 species